rnacentral:tRNA from 1 species
GCGGCAUUAGAUGCGGUAAUUUAAUGAAUCAGAAAGUACUCAACGGCCUUCUAAGCCGUAGGUCGCAGGUUCGAGUCCUGCAGGGCGUGCCA